UACGUAGGUGGCAAGCGUUGUCCGGAUUUACUGGGCGUAAAGGAUGCGUAGGCGGACAUUUAAGUCAGAUGUGAAAUACCCGAGCUUAACUUGGGUGCUGCAUUUGAAACUGGGUGUCUAGAGUGCAGGAGAGGUAAGUGGAAUUCCUAGUGUAGCGGUGAAAUGCGUAGAGAUUAGGAAGAACACCAGUGGCGAAGGCGACUUCCUGGCCUGUUCUUGACGCUGAGGCGCGAAAGCUAGGGUAGCAAACGGG
rnacentral:rRNA from 1 species